rnacentral:lncRNA from 1 species
UUUACAAAAAUUAUAAACCUAGGAACUAAAAAGUCAAUAAAAGGGGCUAUAUAGGCCUAACCUAUUUUCCUACAUCUACGUAAAAGUCUUAAUAAUUCAAUCAAUGUACAAUAAUUCAAUCAAGACUUUUGUACAAUAAUUCAGACUUUGUACAGUAUCUUGUCUCCGUUGAUUUUGUCGUAUCUGCUCCAUUAUUGCUCCUUAUUUUAUCUUUCCAGCUGACA